rnacentral:rRNA from 1 species
GAUGAACGCUGGCGGCGUGCCUAAUACAUGCAAGUCGAGCGAACGGACGAGAAGCUUGCUUCUCUGAUGUUAGCGGCGGACGGGUGAGUAACACGUGGAUAACCUACCUAUAAGACUGGGAUACCUUCGGGAAACCGGAGCUAAUCCCGGAUAAUAUUUUGAACCGCAUGGUUCAAAAGUGAAAGACGGUCUUGCUGUCACUUAUAGAUGGAUCCGCGAUGCAUUAGCUAGUUGGUAAGGUAACGGCUUACCAAGGCAACGAUGCAUAGCCGACCUGAGAGGGUGAUCGGCCACACUGGAACUGAGACACGGUCCAGACUCCUACGGGAGGCAGCAGUAGGGAAUCUUCCGCAAUGGGCGAAAGCCUGACGGAGCAACGCCGCGUGAGUGAUGAAGGUCUUCGGAUCGUAAAACUCUGUUAUUAGGGAAGAACAUAUGUGUAAGUAACUGUGCACAUCUUGACGGUACCUAAUCAGAAAGCCACGGCUAACUACGUG